ensembl:lncRNA
CAGAAAGCUCAUCUCCAGCCUACGGCUAUCUCCCUUUCCCACGGACUCCAGGGUGGCCUCACCUGUGAAGGUGUCUCACAGAAGAGCCUUGUUCUCCUCCAGCUCUGCCAAUUUGCUCGGCCACAGCCUGCAGACCCACAGGGAGGAGGUCGUAGCUCAGCACCAUCUGUGUGAGGAAGCCCUGCCCCAGCUCCAGGAGGAAGAGCUCAGGCGCUGAAGGACUGAUGCUCCCGUGUGGUACCAAGUUGGUCCUGGCACUGGUUCAGGCUUCCUAAGAGAAUGGUGCAAAAGGGAAGGAGCGGUGAGGCGAGGUGCCCAGUCCUGAGAAGGUCAGACGGGAGGAGGACACUUCUGGGAAGGGACCGUCGUGGGAGGAUUCCAGGGAGCUGAGGGCCAGAGGAGCACAGCUGCCGUCCCAUCCUGUGGUGGGUGCUGUCUUUCUUGCCGCAAGUCCCCCUGGGACCAGCAAGGGACCAAAAGUAUCCAGCUACAGCUACACGUGAUGGAAAUAGUUCCAGCAUCAAGAACUUGGAAGAUUUGAAAGUGAUCCCUCCUGCUCUGCUGCGAGCUUG